rnacentral:rRNA from 1 species
UACGUAGGGGGCAAGCGUUGUCCGGAAUUAUUGGGCGUAAAGAGCGCGUAGGCGGUCCGAUAAGUCGGCUGUGAAAGUCAAGGGCUCAACCCUUGAAAGCCGGCCGAUACUGUCGGACUAGAGUCCGGAAGAGGCGAGUGGAAUUCCCGGUGUAGCGGUGAAAUGCGCAGAUAUCGGGAGGAACACCAAUGGCGAAGGCAGCUCGCUGGGACGGUACUGACACUGAGGCGCGAAAGCGUGGGGAGCAAACAGG